rnacentral:misc_RNA from 1 species
AUGGAUGAUACAUCAAUCCUUGUUGGUAGCUGUAAGAAAGUGGUUGCGGGUAACCAAAAUUUCCAACAUAUGUGCCCCGGGGGACACUUGCAAUGUAUGGGGUAGCUGGUCUCAAACGUCCAUAAGGCAGUGGAGGUCGAGGUCGCCCAAGUGAAGCCAAAUUACAAUUUGCCCGUCUACCAUCAAUCAUUGGGGUAGGAUCAGCACAGGCUCUCUUAGCGGCCUCUGGUUCCCGGAAAGUCACAAAACCGUAACCUUUUGAUCGGCCGGUAUUCUUAUCGGU